rnacentral:tRNA from 1 species
AUUUAAGUAGUUUAUUUAAAAUAAUGAUUUGUGGUGUCAUAGAAAUUUUUUAAUCUUAAAUU